rnacentral:misc_RNA from 1 species
ACAGAGCGGUUCGCUGGUGGUGGCGCUUUGCCUCCUCGCCGCCGCCGCCACCGGCUCUUGGGCUAGCAGGUUUGAUCAGCAAGUUCUCCAACUCCCAAGUGAAGGUGGGCUCACGUCACUGUACGAUGGAGGAACAACCUUGCAGAGCUCCUCUCCAUGCUGCGAUAAUUGUGGGCUCUGCUUAGGUUCCAAGUGCAGGUGUGCUGACGCCUUCAAAGCCUGCCCUUCAUGGUGUAAGCUCUGCACACCGCAAGUACUCCCUCUCUUCACCUUCACCUGCCUCGACUUAAUAGACAACCUCUGCGACACCAAGUGUAAUCCUCCAUUGUCUCCGCCGCCACCACCAUCCCCACCACCACCGCCAUCUCCAUUUCCUCCGCCACCUCCAUCUCCGUCUCCACCGCCUCCUCCUUCUCCACCCCCACCUCCAUCUCCGUCUCCA